AUUGAACGCUGGCGGCAUGCUUUACACAUGCAAGUCGAACGGCAGCGCGGGCUUCGGCCUGGGGCGAGUGGCGAACGGGUGAGUAAUGCAUCGGAACGUGCCCAGUAGUGGGGGAUAGCCCGGCGAAAGCCGGAUUAAUACCGCAUACGACCUGAGGGUGAAAGCGGGGGACCGAAAGGCCUCGCGCUAUUGGAGCGGCCGAUGUCGGAUUAGCUAGUUGGUGGGGUAAAGGCUUACCAAGGCGACGAUCCGUAGCUGGUCUGAGAGGACGACCAGCCACACUGGGACUGAGACACGGCCCAGACUCCUACGGGAGGCAGCAGUGGGGAAUUUUGGACAAUGGGGGCAACCCUGAUCCAGCCAUGCCGCGUGCGGGAAGAAGGCCUUCGGGUUGUAAACCGCUUUUGUUCGGGAAGAAAUCCUCUGGGCUAAUACCCCGGGGGGAUGACGGUACCGGAAGAAUAAGCACCGGCUAACUACGUG
rnacentral:rRNA from 1 species